rnacentral:rRNA from 1 species
CACAAGCAGCGGAGCGUGUGGUUUAAUUCGAUGCUACACGAAGACCUUACUGGUUGACAUGUACGUAGUAGUGAACCGAAAGGGGAACGAGCCUUCGGGCAGCGUACACAGGUGCUGCAUGGCUGUCGUCAGCUCGUGCCGUGAGGUGUUGGGUUAAGUCCCGCAACGAGCGCAACCCUCAUCGCUAGUUACAUGUGUCUAGCGAGACUGCCAGGUUAACCCUGGAGGAAGGUGGGAUGACGUCAAGUCAGCAUGGCCUUUAUGCCCAGGGCUACACACACGCUACAAUGGUCGGUACAAUGGGAUGCCAAGCCGUGAGGCGGAGCAAAUCCUCAAAGCCGGCCUCAGUUCGAAUUGGAGGCUGCAACUCGCCUCCAUGAAGUCGGAGUUGCUAGUAACCGCAGGUCAGCUAUACUGCGGUGAAUACGUUCCCGGGGCUU